ACUCCUACGGGAGGCAGCAGUAGGGAAUCUUCCGCAAUGGACGAAAGUCUGACGGAGCAACGCCGCGUGAGCGAAGAAGGCUUUCGGGUCGUAAAGCUCUGUUGUUAGGGAAGAACAAGUAACGCAGUAACUGGCGUUACCUUGACGGUACCUAACGAGAAAGCCACGGCUAACUACGUGCCAGCAGCCGCGGUAAU
rnacentral:rRNA from 1 species